rnacentral:rRNA from 1 species
ACAGGCUUAACACAUGCAAGUCGAGGGGCAUCAGGAAGAAAGCUUGCUUUCUUUGCUGGCGACCGGCGCACGGGUGAGUAACACGUAUCCAACCUGCCCUUUACUCGGGGAUAGCCUUUCGAAAGAAAGAUUAAUACCCGAUGGCAUAAUGAUUCCGCAUGGUUUCAUUAUUAAAAGAUUCCGGUAAAGGAUGGGGAUGCGUUCCAUUAGGUUGUUGGUGAGGUAACGGCUCACCAAGCCUUCGAUGGAUAGGGGUUCUGAGAGGAAGGUCCCCCACAUUGGAACUGAGACACGGUCCAAACUCCUACGGGAGGCAGCAGUGAGGAAUAUUGGUCAAUGGGCGCUAGCCUGAACCAGCCAAGUAGCGUGAAGGAUGAAGGCUCUAUGGGUCGUAAACUUCUUUUAUAUAAGAAUAAAGUGCAGUAUGUAUACUGUUUUGUAUGUAUUAUAUGAAUAAGGAUCGGCUAACUCCGUGCCAGCAGCCGCGGUAAUACGGAGGAUCCGAGCGUUAUCCGGAUUUAUUGGGUUUAAAGGGAGCGUAGGUGGACUGGUAAGUCAGUUGUGAAAGUUUGCGGCUCAACCGUAAAAUUGCAGUUGAUACUGUCAGUCUUGAGUACAGUAGAGGUGGGCGGAAUUCGUGGUGUAGCGGUGAAAUGCUUAGAUAUCACGAAGAACUCCGAUUGCGAAGGCAGCUCACUGGACUGCAACUGACACUGAUGCUCGAAAGUGUGGGUAUCAAACAGGAUUAGAUACCCUGGUAGUCCACACAGUAAACGAUGAAUACUCGCUGUUUGCGAUAUACAGUAAGCGGCCAAGCGAAAGCAUUAAGUAUUCCACCUGGGGAGUACGCCGGCAACGGUGAAACUCAAAGGAAUUGACGGGGGCCCGCACAAGCGGAGGAACAUGUGGUUUAAUUCGAUGAUACGCGAGGAACCUUACCCGGGCUUAAAUUGCAGUGGAAUGAUGUGGAAACAUGUCAGUGAGCAAUCACCGCUGUGAAGGUGCUGCAUGGUUGUCGUCAGCUCGUGCCGUGAGGUGUCGGCUUAAGUGCCAUAACGAGCGCAACCCUUAUCUUUAGUUACUAACAGGUCAUGCUGAGGACUCUAGAGAGACUGCCGUCGUAAGAUGUGAGGAAGGUGGGGAUGACGUCAAAUCAGCACGGCCCUUACGUCCGGGGCUACACACGUGUUACAAUGGGGGGUACAGAAGGCAGCUAGCGGGUGACCGUAUGCUAAUCCCAAAAGCCUCUCUCAGUUCGGAUCGAAGUCUGCAACCCGACUUCGUGAAGCUGGAUUCGCUAGUAAUCGCGCAUCAGCCACGGCGCGGUGAAUACGUUCCCGGGCCUUGUACACACCGCCCGUCAAGCCAUGGGAGCCGGGGGUACCUGAAGUGCGUAACAGGGAGGAUCGCCCUAGGGUAAAACUGGUGACUGGGGCU